UUGAAUUUAUAUGAUUGUCCUUGUCAAAUACAGGACUCUGGGUGAUUUACAACACUAACAAUGCUUAAAAAGAAAGACAAACUAAUAAUAUAGUUAAAAAAAAAAGAAAUGAGAAAUAACAAAAAGCAGCUGAGAUAAAAUACCAGUCAAGCCACAUUGGGCAUUAUUAGUGUGCAAAACUCACAAACAAUUAGUUAACAUAGUAUAAUUAUGAGUAACAAAUUUUAUUGAUGCAAUCUAACGAUACUCAUUUUUAUAUUGGACUGCUAUUUUAUAUUUCAUUUUGGUUUAAAAUUGUUGGAGUAUGGUAAUUAAAUCGUGCAGAGUUAACAUCUACAUAUUUUUUUAUUUUUAUUGUCACAUUUUAUCAAAAUUACCAUAGUGUAGUUUAUUAUUACUCUUAAUCCUGUUAUACAUGCAUUGUGAAAUAUUAACAGUCACAGUAUGUAUGUGUAUAUCUGUAUCUGUAGCUAUAAGUAUAGAUAAUCAGCCCAAAUCAACCCACUGCACAAUAAAGCCCUCUUUACCCUACAGUUAUGGACUGUAAUUUACUAUGCUGGUCCUGUAAAUAUUGGUAGGUAUCGGUAGGUGGUCAUCCAGCCAGCUGCCAUUCUUAACCCAGACCUCUGCACUCCUAAUCCACAUCUUAACCACUAGAUCACAAUUAUAUUAUUCCAUUUUGUAAUUUUAAUAUAGAUUCUAGUAUUGUAAUGAGUUCAAAACUUGGUGCCAGUAAUUCUAAUCUACCUACUUCUUCCAUAGUUUAUAGGUUAGAUUGUUUCUGUUAAGUUGCAUAUUACCUUAGGCUUUUUAAUGAUCAAAAUAAAGAUUAUUUUUUGACAUUCUUGUUUUUUGUUCCCAUUGGUGUUUUGAUGUCUUUUAAACAAAACAGUUCUAUUUAUCUUUGGGAUUAAGUAAGAAUAUAUGCACACUUGAUGCUUAACUGCUCCUGUUUGGUGUUCAUGCUGGUUUGACUCUAACUGAGUGAAGAAAAUCCUGUCCAGACUUUGGAAACAACUAGCAAGCUCUACAAUCAGCAGAUCCACUGGAAGUUGGCUAGUGAUUUACAGGUCACUAUGGUACAAAGGAAUCCUGACUUGAGCAAACCUCUGCACAAGUGUUUAAGAAAUGCUUCUGUUUGUCUCUGCUUUUCAAUAGGAACCCAAAACAUAGUUAAUCUGAUCAACAGGGAUCAAUAGAAAAAAUUUCUAUAUGCCCUUUACUACAAAUAUUUACAGAAUAAUUAACAGAAUGAUCCAAGAAAACAAGAGACAAUAAAUAUACUGCACCAAUAUUGCUGGUAAUAACGAGUAAGCUGCUGCAUUAUAAUUUGUUCUCAGACAUGCAAUGCCUGGAAAAAUAAAAAGUUAAUUGCCUCAGCCCCCAUCACUCAGUAUCAGGGGUGCUAGAGUCUUUAUGGACCACGAAUGCUACUGACAUCAUUACAGAUUGGAGAAACAUACUGUACCCACAAACCUUCUUGACAGCUUUCUUUCUUCAAGGAGGCACCUGAGGAUUAAAAAAAAAAAAAAAUCACAGUUAAGUUGUGGUAGCAGGAAUUCAUUGAGCUAUUGAUCCCAAACUCAGUAUGGCUCUGUCACUCUGAAUGGAUAAGAACUUGUGGACUCCUUUGUCAGCAGUCAGGAAAGCCAUCUUAUUAUGGGAGCAUAAUCUAGAGUUUACAAGACAAUCUCUAUUCCAAUAGGGUUUAAUGACUUACAACCUGAAAUGAAGAAAGCUACUCUACGCCACAGAUGCUACUUUGGCUGUCAGUUAUGGUGCUGGACCCAUAUCUUUCCCAGACUGCAAUCUUGAUCAUUUAAGGGGAGCUGACUAUCAUUUCCCCCGAAGAAAGGCAUGACUUCCUGCUAACAGUGCUAUCUUGUCAGGAUUAACUUUCAAUUUAUUGUUGUACAUCAUCCUGUGAAAUUGUGCCCUAGCUAGCAAUCCAGUAUAUCUAUUCUUCCAUGUGACCCGGAAUAUAAGAUGUCCGACUAUCAAAAAUCAAAAACAAAGAAAUCUCACUGAACAAAUUCCCAGCUAAUCUCUGAUGAUCCUCCCACUUAAAAAAAGAAACUAAGAAAGAAAGUUUUCUCCCUUUCAAAUAAAUGUAAUAAUAACCAGCACUUAAUUAAGUCUACCAGACAAGAGACAGCCCACUGAAAGGGAACAUGUCUUACAGGUGAUCCAGACAUUUACCAGACUAGGAGGUGGGUGGCAAUAUAUCUGUUUUGCUCCUCUAUUCGAUGACAUCUAAAAAAAAAAAUAUGUCACCUAAGAUGAGAAAAGAAAUGCAUUCUGUAAGAGAGCUUUGGAUUGGUAUGUAUUCUCAAGAUGCUUUAAAACGAAACAGGGUAGGGCAAUUAGCAUUCAAUUGCAGUCACAAAUCUAUCAGGUACACCUAUAAGUUGAAAAACCAUCUCAGGAGUCAAGAUAUAGUGUUUUUCCUCAUAGCUAAGUUGCAAAUGUUUUUCACCAGGAAUUGAACCAGAAGAUAGAUGAUUCCAGCAUAAGAUUUGUUGAACCAUGUGAUGUUUCUAAUACUUCUGUAGAUAUGUGGCAGGCAAAUGAUCCUGUUUUAAUGUAUAACAUAUAAGGAAUAUUAAGUUCAUGGUAGAUUUCAGUUUUUUUUUUUAACCUUCCCUUCAAUCUAAUGUCAUUAUUUGGUGGGAAAGUAUCAAUCUCUAUCCUUAAUGUGGGCCAGGGCAGGGGGAAAUGCAUGGGGUUGUUGGACUAGUGGGUUUAGUUAUAAACUUGCUCUGGUUUUGUGCUAAAUACCAAUUGAUAAGCAUGUUUUUUUUAAAACAUAGACUUAGUGCUAUUUCAUCUUAAAAAGCAACUUGAACAACAGCUGAAUAGUUCAGGUAGAAUUGUCUCUUUCUUUUCCAUUUGAACAUAUAGCUCUUCUCCUAUGGUCAGCUGAUGUUUAGGGUGUCUGAGCCUAGUGGAUAAAGGGGAAAAAAGUCUGGCUUGAAAGAACUGGAUUUUUGAUAUUGCUCAAUAGAUCUGGCACACAGUGCCCAGAAACUCACUUUGACAUAAGCAGCCAAUAGCUUCUAAGCUGAUCCCAAUACCUAAGGUUCACCUGCUUGGAAUUGUGGUGGCACAAUGGUUAGAAUGCAGUAUUACAGGCUGACUCUGCCCAUUACCAGGAGUUCGAUCCUGACCAGCUCAAGGUUGACUCAGUCUUCCAUCCUCCCAAGGUCAGUAAAAUAAAGACUCAGUUUUUUGAAAGCAAUAUACUGGCUCUGUAAACCUCUUAGAGAGUGCUAUGAAGUGGGAUAUUAGUCUAAGUGCUAUUGCUACUGCUAUGGUCCAUGACAGAAUGGCUCAAGAAGAGUCAGUAUCCACAGCAAUCACCUUACUGUAAUCAUAAUCCAGCAAAUUCUGUGAGAAAUGUGGGUAAAAGUACUAUUUUAGCAUGGGUACAUGUAAGGAUGACAUUAGGUAUGGGCCAGACAUGAGAUAAAAGCAAUGUCAUGACAACUAACCACAAAAAGGGAAGUUGUUGGGAUAUGAUGAUGUUGCAAUGAAAUGCAAGCAAGGAAAGGUGCAUAGGAAGAACUCUGCUGGAUGAAGCCAAGAUCCAUUUUACCCAAUUUUCUGUUCCUACAUUGGCCAGAAAGCCAGUGAACAGCUCACCAUGUGGACACCAAGACACUGUGACCCUCCUGCUCAUAUUUCCUGGAACUGGUCUUAGGAACCAUCCUGGUGGAGUUAAUAAUAAUAGCAAGUAUAUUAUUAACUAUGCAUGUUUUUAAUGCUUAUUUAAGUUUGUGUGGAUUAGUGAUCAUUGUUGCAACAUAGCAUUUAGUAGAAAAGGAGCCUCAAGAUAUAUGAAUACUUGUCUAAUCUAGAUGGAUGGCUGUUAUUAUAAUGUUAUCUGCUUUGGUAACAGGAAGAUCAAAGGAUUUUUAUUCACUGUGACUGAAGGGUAUAGAAAAAGAAUUCUACUGGAGAUUUACCAAUUGCCAAGAUGCUGUUUCACUGGACAAUGCUUUUCUUUAUGUUUCCUGUCUUUAAAUGAUGAAGAUGAAAGUUCAGCUUGUGGAAUCACAUCAGGUCAUCAGACAAAUAUUAUCCCCUUAAAAAAAAUAUAAGUGAGCAGCAACUGGGACACAGCUGAGAAUAGGCAAAAAACCUGCAGAUACUGAGGUCAAAACUAGUUGGGAUAUUAAAUGCAUUGUUUGCAUUUACUUGCGUACUUUACUACAUAGUAAAUAUGUACAAAACUGGAGCUUCAGGGAAGAGUGAAGGAAGAAAGUGAUUAAUUGUAUAAUUACAGCAAAAUUAUUUCAUCAGGACUUCAAUGACAAAGAGGAAAAGAAAGGUCAAACUCCUUCUCUUACCAUGAUAUUGAUAAAUAUCAGCAUCCAGCCUUCUCCAGGAUCACAGAAGCCUAAGACAGAUAUAGAUUGCACCUCAAUAAUAUUCCACAAGACCUGACUUUACCUCUUAUUAAUGAAUAGCUGCUAUUACUUUCUACUAUUGGGUGAAAGUGAGGUGGAAGAAGUAUUGUGGAAGCAGCCAUACCUGUCCUUCAGCUCAAAGUGACUAAGUCAUUCCCAACAAGAACACUGUGAGAAAGUAAAGUUUCCUUUUUCUUUGCUAAAGAUUAGCACCAAAUGUAUAGGAAAAGCAAUAAGGUGUUUCAUUCCUCAUACCAAAAUCUGGAUUCAAAUGGAAACAGUUAUUACUAUAUAACGUAAUAUUUUCAUGAACACUCAUGGAUUGUGGGAAUUCUCAGGAUUAUGGGAAGUCUCAGAAGGAAAAUAAAUAUUGUGGAAAGAUUA